UGAACAUUUUUCCUUAAUUCUCAAGUUGGAUAUGAUUGUCCGCGAUUUGUCCAUGUUUAUCCACCCAAAAUUUUCGUUUGUCGCCGUCAAUAUUAAAUCUUAUUUUUUUGUGUUUUUGUUUGUUAAUAAUAAUUCGAUUCUGCUGGGUGGACAAACGAAAAUUUGGGGUGGACAAACAUGGACAUAUCGUGGACAAUCAUAUCUCAGUUAGAAAUGAAGGAAAAAUGUUCG
rnacentral:pre_miRNA from 1 species